ensembl:lncRNA
GUCCUUCCUGCCUCUCUGGUCGGUUGUCUGAAGGGAUCACAGAAUGAGAAGGUGAGAUUCACGCUGCAGAGACUGCGGUACAGCCUCCCCACAACAAACGGAGGGAAAAGUCUCACCCUGCGUGCAAAACAAAGAGGAAAUAUUCCACACAUUUAAUGGGAUAGGCUCCAGGACAAACAGCCGCUAAAUAAUCUUGGCUAUUAAACUGACAACGACUCUUGGGACAUGUUGUUCGGGCUGUUCUACAAGGCGGUGACACUCUGAACAAACAGCGGUGGGAAGUAAAUCAGGAUCACCCAAGUCAGUUUCCUAAUUCUGGCAGUCAUGUGGUCACAGCAAAGUCUAAUUGUCCUGGAACUCAGGCUUGGUGUGAGUCAAUUUUGGAAGAGACCCCAGGCCUGAAUCUUCAGCCAUCAAAACUGUUAACCCAGGUGGUAGACAAGCAAAGCUGAACUUUCUGGUAGGUAAGAAAUAUCACAGGUAAGUAUCAAGACUGUGGAAUUAGGACUUCGCUGGUGGUCCAGUGGUUGAGAAUCCGCCUGCCAAUGCGGGGGACGUGGGUUUGAUCCCUGGUUGAGAAGCAGAUCUCACAUGCUCUGGGCAACUAAGCUCCAGUAGCCUGAGGCUACUGAGCCUGAGCUCUGCAACACGGAAAGCCCGAGGGCCUCUGGGAAGACCCAGUAGAGCCCAAAUACAUAAAAUAAAUUUUAAAAGGUUGUUGAAUCAAAAUCUUUGAUCAAAAUCGAAGCACCGAGGAAACACAUGUAUAUCCAUAAUAUAAAUAUGACAUAAAAAUAUUUGCAACCAGUUUUUAAAAAUCAAUUUAUUUUUGGUUGCUUUGGGUCUCCGUUUCUGAGUGCAUGCUUUGUCUAGCUGCGACCAUCGGGGACUCCUCUCUAGUUGUGGUGCUGGGGCUUCUCAUUGCAGUGGCUUCUCUUGUUGCAAAGCAUGGGCUGAAGAGAGCAGGCUCAGUGGUUGUGACCCGUGGGCUAAGUUGGCUUCUGAGAUCUUCCUGGACCAGGGAUCGAAGUUGAGUCCCCUGUAUUGGCAAGCAGAUUCUUAACCACUGAAGUUCCCUUAACGACCAGGGAAGUCCUGCAACCAGCUUAAUGUAAGCAUACUGAUGAAUGUGAUCAUCACUGUUCUAUUUGUGGGUCUUAAAUGUCCAUCUAGUCAAGGCUAUGGUUUUUCCUGUGGUCGUGUAUGGAUGUCAGAGUUGGACUGUGAAGAAAGCUGAGCACUGAAGAAUUGAUGCUUUUGAACUGUGGUGUUGGAGAAGACUCUUGAGAGACCCCUGAACUGCAAGGAGAUCCAACAAGUCUAUCCUAAAGGAGAUCAGUCCUGGAUGUUCAUUGGAAGGACUGAUGCUGAAGCUGAAACUCCAAUACUUUGGCCACCUCAUGCGAAGAGUUGACUCAUUGGAAAAGACCCUGAUGCUGGGAGGGAUCAGGGGCAGGAGGAGAAGGGGACGACAGAGGAUGAGAUGGCUGGAUGGCAUCACUGACAUGAGUUUGGGUAAACUCCAGGAGUUGGUGAUGGACAGGGAGGCCUGGAGUGCUGCGAUUCGUGGGGUCGAAACGAGUCGGACACGACUGAGCGACUGAAAUGAACUGAACUGAAGCAAACGGUGCUGGGAAAACUGGAUGCCCACGUGCAAAAGAAUGAAGUUGGACCCUAACCACUGACAAGCGUACAGUUCAGUGGCUGUCCGUACAUUCACACUGUUAUGCAACCAUCCCCGUCAGCCAUCUUCAG